rnacentral:rRNA from 1 species
CACGUAGGGGGCGAGCGUUGUCCGGAAUCAUUGGGCGUAAAGAGCGUGUAGGCGGUUCGGUAAGUCGGCUGUGAAAGUCCAGGGCUCAACCCUGGGAUGCCGGUCGAUACUGCCGUGCUUGAGGACUGGAGAGGAGACUGGAAUUUACGGUGUAGCGGUGAAAUGCGUAGAUAUCGUAAGGAAGACCAGUGGCGAAGGCGGGUCUCUGGACAGUUCCUGACGCUGAGGCACGAAGGCCAGGGGAGCAAACGGG